rnacentral:lncRNA from 1 species
GCUCUGCCAGGUCAGGGUGCGUUCUGCUCUGCGUUUUUCCAUCCUGCCUAAACGGCGGGGUCUUACUCUGUCCCACAGGCUAGAGUACAGUGGCGCAAUCAUGGCUCAUACGGCCUCGACUUCCCUGGCUCAAGCAAUUCUCCAACCCAGCUUCCCAAGUAGCUGGGACUACAGGCACUCGCCAACACGCCCUGCUAUUUUUAAAAUUUUUUGUAGAGAUAGGGUCUCAUUAUGUUGCCUGGACUGGUCUCUAACUCCUAGAUUCAAGCAAUCUGCCCACCUCAGCCCCCCAAAGUGUUGGGGUUACAGAUGUGAGCCACUGCACCCAGCAUUCUUCUUCUUCUAAAAACUGGCCUAGACAAAAAAAAAUUGCCUAAAGUUGAAUAGCUAAUAAAGUGUGAAAAAUUGAGGGUUACAGUUUAUCCAAAGGGAUGAACUCUGAUUUAGGUUAAUUUGAGUCUAGAGCCCAGCCUCUUAGCCUCCACACUCUGAACUGUCUGCCACAAUAGUAACUAGGAAGAAAUAAGAAUACAACACUGCAUAUACACCAUCAGGCCAGUGAUGUGUAUAUAUGUGUAUACAUUUGCCACUACACACAAUGUAUGCAGAGGAAAAGGAUGGGAAGACAGACUCCCACAUUUUCACUAUGGUAUCUCUCAGUGGUACAAUCACCAGUGAUUUAGAUUUUCUUUUAAAUUUUCUAUAAUGUGUGUGUGUGUGUAUUAAUUUAACAAUUAGAUAAAAUGUUAUGUACAGGUCGAUUUCACUAAAAAGCCAGGUGCUGAUUACAGCAGUAUUCAUUAUAAUGAAAACUUGAAAGUAGCUCACAUAUCAAUUACUGUUGAUACUCGGGUCACUAUUGGAUUUGUUAAGUGAGUUAUAAAAUAUAUAUCUAUUGCAAUAGUUUGCAGCCAUUGAAAAUGAAGAUUACAAAGACCAAGUGAAACCAUUAUGUGAAAAAAUAAAAAAUGCUAGGCAUAUUAUGCAUAAUUAUUUGAGGAUAUCAUUGUAAAAUCUGUAAGGAAAGAGGAAAUGAUAAC